UAUUAAGCUAUUAAGAGCAUACAGUGGAUGCCUAGGCACUAGAAGGCGAUGAAAGACAUGCUAGGCUGUGAUAAGCCUCGACGAGCUGCCUAAAAAGCUUUGACUCGGGGAUUUCUGAAUGGGGAAACCUACUCUUUUAAGAGUAUUGUAAGAUGAAUAUAUAGUCUUGCAAGGCGAACGUGGGGAAUUGAAACAUCUUAGUACCCACAGGAAAAUAAAUCAAUUGAGAUUCCGUUAGUAGUGGCGAGCGAACGCGGAUCAGCCUAAACCAACAGGUUUACUUGUUGGGGUUGUGGGGCAAAUAAUGUGAAAUGGAUUGUUUAGUCGAAAGUGUUGAGAAGCGCUACCAUAGUGGGUGUUAGUCCCGUAGACGAAAGGCGAGAAGUUUUUAUUUUGUACCCAAGUAGGGCGGGGCACGUGGAAUCCUGUCUGAAUCUGGGAGGACCAUCUUCCAAGGCUAAAUACUAUCUAGUGACCGAUAGUGAAGAGUACCGUGAGGGAAAGGUGAAAAGAACCCCGGUAAGGGGAGUUAAUAGAUCUGAAACUGUAUGCUUACAAGCAGUCGGAGCGAAAGUGACGGCGUGCCUUUUGCAUAAUGAGCUAGCGAGUUAAUGUAGCGAGCAAGGUUAAGAUGUUUAGCAUCGUAGCCGUAGUGAAAGCGAGCCUUAAUAGGGCGUUUAGUUCGUUGCAUUAGACCCGAAACCCAGUGAUCUAUCCAUGAGCAGGUUGAAGCUGGGGUAAAACCUAGUGGAGGACCGAACCCGUUGUUGUUGAAAAAACUUGGGAUGACUUGUGGAUAGGAGUGAAAGGCUAAUCAAACUGGGUGAUAGCUGGUUCUCCUCGAAAUAUAUAUAGGUAUAGCCUCAUGCGUUUCUUAACAGGGGUAGAGCACUAAAUGGGCUAGGGAUCUUAACAGAUUACCAAACUCAUUUAAACUCCGAAUACUGUUAUAGAUAGCAUGGGAGACAGACUGCGGGAGAGAAGUUUCGUAGUCGAAAGGGAAAGAGCCCAGACCAUCAGCUAAGGUCCCAAAGAAUGUGCUAAGUGGAAAACGUUGUGAAAAUACAAAGACAGCCAGGAGGUUGGCUUAGAAGCAGCCAUCCUUUAAAGAAAGCGUAACAGCUCACUGGUCAAGUGUUUUUGUGCGGAAGAUGUAACGGGGCUAAAGUACAACACCGAAGCUAUGGACUUCGAAUGAAGUGGUAGAGGAGUAUUGUAGUAACCGCUGAAGAUAUGUCGCGAGAUAUGUUGGAGGAACUACAAGAGCAUAUGCUAGCAUAAGUAGCUAUAAAGCAGGUGAGAAGCCUGCUCGCCGGAAGCCCAAGGUUUCCUAGGGAAGGUUUAUCCUCCUAGGGUUAGUCGGUUCCUAAGGUGAGGUCGAAAGGCGUAAUCGAUGGAAAACAGGUUAAUAUUCCUGUACUUGGUAGUGGAGUGAUGUAGGGGUGAAGAAGGGUAGCUAGGCCAGUUAUUGGAUUCUGGUGCAAGCAUGUAGAAAGGCUCUCUAGGAAAAUCCGGAGAGUUAUUUUUGAGGUGUUAUGCGUCACAAGCUAGUGAUCCCAUGCUUACAAGAAAAGCUACUAAACAAUGAAGCUAUUAAGCCGUACCGCAAACCAACACAGGUGGGCGAGGAGAGUAUCCUAAGGCGAUUGGGUUAAAUGAGGUUAAGGAACUCGGCAAAUUGACACUGUAACUUCGGGAUAAGGUGUGCCAGUGAUGUGAAGAGAUUUACUCUCGGAGCAUGAUCUGGUUACAAAAAAGAGGGGGUAGCGACUGUUUAGCAAAAACAUAGCACUAUGCAAAUUUGUAAAAAGACGUAUAUGGUGUGACGCCUGCCCAGUGCUGGAAGGUUAAAAGGAGAGGUCAGCGAAAGCGAAGCUUUGAAUUGAAGCCCCAGUAAACGGCGGCCGUAACUAUAACGGUCCUAAGGUAGCGAAAUUCCUUGUCGGGUAAGUUCCGACCUGCACGAAUGGCGUAACGACUUCCCCACUGUCUCAACCUCAUGCCCAGUGAAAUUGAAAAGCGGGUGAAGAUGCCCGCUACCCGCAGCAAGACGGAAAGACCCCGUGAACCUUUACUAUAGCUUGAUAUGGAUAUUCGGGUUGAUUUGUGUAGAAUAGGUGGGAGGCUUUGAAGAGAUGACGCUAGUUGUCUUUGAGCCGACAAUGAAAUACCACCCUAAUUGAUUUGGUUAUCUAACCUAACUCCGUGAUCCGGAGUAGGGACAAUGUCUGGUGGUUAGUUUGACUGGGGCGGUCGCCUCCCAAAGAGUAACGGAGGCGUGCAAUGGUUCCCUCAAGCCGGAUAGAAAUCGGCUUUAGAGUGCAAAGGCAUAAGGGAGCUUGACUGCAAGAGUGACAGCUCGAGCAGGUACGAAAGUAGGUCUUAGUGACCCGGUGGCUCCGAAUGGAAGGGCCAUCGCUCAUCGGAUAAAAGGUACUCCGGGGAUAACAGGCUAAUCUCCUCCAAGAGUUCACAUCGACGAGGAGGUUUGGCACCUCGAUGUCGGCUCAUCACAUCCUGGGGCUGAAGCAGGUCCCAAGGGUUUGGCUGUUCGCCAAUUAAAGUGGUACGCGAGCUGGGUUCAGAACGUCGUGAGACAGUUCGGUCCCUAUCUGCUGUGGGCGUAGGAAAUUUGAGAGGAUCUGACCUUAGUACGAGAGGACCGGGUUGGACGCACCUCUGGUGUACCAGUUGUUCCGCCAGGAGCAUCGCUGGGUAGCUAUGUGCGGACGGGAUAACCGCUGAAAGCAUCUAAGUGGGAAGCCUACCUCAAGAUAAGAUUUCCCGUGUUUAUCACAUGAAGGCCGGUUUUAGACCAAGACGUUGAUAGGCUGGAGGUGGAAGUACAGUAAUGUAUGGAGCUGACCAGUACUAAUUGGCCGUUUGGCUUAAUAUA
rfam:Candidatus Thiomargarita nelsonii contig_1192, whole genome shotgun sequence.